rnacentral:lncRNA from 1 species
ACUUUUGAAUCACCUCUCAAAGUUGAUAAGACAAGGGGCUGAAAUCUUCCCCUCAGAUGCAGGGGAGUCUCUAAGCUGCUCAGGUACAUGUGAGCUCUGGUUACAUUUCUGGAAGGACAUGGGCAGGAAACCGAGAGAGAUGGGAAAGUGGCUCGGAGAGGACCAGCACUGUUCACACCGAGGAGUGGCUGAGCGUGCAAUUUCAGAGGCAGCGCCUACAACGAACCAGU